CUUUGUUUCUCUUUAAUAGAAUAUUUUAUUUAUCAUAGCUCCCUAUGUUGAAAAGUUGGGGAAGAGUGCAUUUCUAUUGCGAAAGAUUCAAUCUAGCCACAGGUUCUCCUACGGCUACCUUGGUACUACUUCACCCUAGUCAAAGAUUCAAUAUAUACGACAGUUAGUCAAAGCCAUAGUAUCAAGGAAAAGUUAGGAGGGAGCAAGGUUUUGGCUAUCAUUUUUUGUUUUUAACCUCCUUGUGUUACAUUUUAAUUUCUAUGUUUCGCUAGUCUUCUUAUCAUGUAUGAGUCAUUUUCUCCUGCAUUAUUAUACUGCAAUUGUUACUCAGCAUCUGCAUUGCAGUUUUCUGUUGUGUGGGAGCUCUUGCAAUAACUGGUUCUCUGCAUCAUGUUGAUAAGGACCUCCUUGGUUGGUGGUUAUGUGAAAGACAAGUCAAAUCUGGAGGUCUAAAUGGGCGUCCUGAGAAGCUUCCUGAUGUCUGUUACUCUUGGUGGGUUCUCUCCAGCUUAAUCAUGAUUGACAGAGUGCACUGGAUUGACAAGGAGAAGCUUGCUAAAUUUAUUUUGGAUUGUCAGGAUACAGAGAAGGGUGGAAUUUCAGAUAGGCCAGAUGAUGCGGUUGACGUCUUCCACACUUACUUUGGAGUCGCUGGACUUUCACUUCUUGAAUAUUCAGGACUAAAACCUAUAGAUCCUGCUUAUGCACUGCCUGUUAGUGUUGUAAACAAAGUUAUCCUUCCAUGUCGUCCUUGAUUCUGGUGCAUAAUUGCUUUUGGUAUGAAAUUACCUAAAUGUUUGGCACUCGAAGGAAGGUGAUUGGUGUUAUUAGAACUGAAGCAUUGUUUUUGUCACCAUGGCUGGAUAUACAUUCGUAUUCUGGGAAAAUUGACCUCAUCUCGUGUUCUUGUGCAACCUGUAUUCUGGCUAAAGUUUGAGAAACAGUUUAAUAUACAUACCAUUUUUCCCCUUCCCUAUUUUUGCAUCUUUUGGGGCUCUUGAUUGCGGGAUUCUCAUGUUUUGGGUUGUAUGUCAUGGUGGGUUAAACACCAUGUGCUCCUUUAGCCGCCUCUUGACUGUAAAUACUCGGGAGUUUUUCUAGUCCUUGUGUUUGUUACACACAGGAGAG
rnacentral:misc_RNA from 1 species